GACGAACGCUGGCGGCGUGCUUAACACAUGCAAGUCGAGCGGUAAGGCCCUUUCGGGGGUACGACGAGCGGCGAACGGGUGAGUAACACGUGGGUGACCUGCCCUCAGCUCUGGGAUAAGCCUGGGAAACCGGGUCUAAUACCGGAUAUGACUCCAUGACGCAUGUUGUGGGGUGGAAAGCCUUGUGCGGCUGAGGAUGGGCCCGCGGCCUAUCAGCUUGUUGGUGGGGUGANGGCCUACCAAGGCGACGACGGGUAGCCGGCCUGAGGGGGCGACCGGCCACACUGGGACUGAGACACGGCCCAGACUCCUACGGGAGGCAGCAGUGGGGAAUCUUGCGCAAUGGGCGAAAGCCUGACGCAGCGACGCCGCGUGA
rnacentral:rRNA from 1 species